GAUUUCAAUAAAAGUAACCAUAAUAUGAUUUUCUAUCAUUUAAUUAGAGUUAUUUGGUAGUUUUUUCGUCAAUAACAGAACAUCGAUGAAGAAAUAUAUUUGUUUACAAAAGUAGAUGUUUGUAAAAAUUACUACAAAUUAUUUGUCGAACCUGGAAAAGCUGGAAUAGUGUCGUUCAUCAUUAACAUAAAGGUCUCUUCAGAGACGCUUCUAUGAGGAAUGCAGCCAUGACACUUUGUUGAGAUCCUACUGGCUUAUGGUCUUCGUCAAUUGGUGUCUUCGCCGUAUUCUCGGUAUUUACUGACCCGAGAAAAUCUCCAACGUUAAUCUGUGGAAACGCUGCGGUCAGAUACUGAUUGAUCUGCAAAUCAAACGUCGCAAGUGGAAGUGCAUCGGCCACAUGCUUCGAAGGGAUCCGGAACACAUAUCGAGACAAGCCCUAGACUGGACCCCUGAAGGAGAGCGAAAAUGUAGCCGCCCUAAGCAGACCUGGCGGCGAACAAUCAUUCCAGAGGCCAAAAACAUCGGUAAGACUUGGAGCGACAUGAAAGGCGAAGCUCAAGACCAAACUAGAUGACGGCAUACUAUGGAUGCCCUCUGCCCCAUCUAGGAACAUAGGACAAAGAAGAGAAGAUAAACUAAUCUAUGGAAAUUGGAUCAACCAACCUGAUCUGUUAACCAAACAGACCAAUCAACU